CACUAUAAGUAUGGAAAAUUCGAUGAAAAUGCAACAGAAAAAUAACAAGGAAAAACAAUAUUUCUUCGUUCAUUUCUGACGUUCUCAUCAUCGUUUGCUGCAUUCAUCCGCCUCCAGCCUCGGUUUCUUCUUUGUUUAGGUUCUGGGUUAAUUAUUUCAAGGUUCUUGAAAUUCAACUACUAGAUGGGUUCUCUUGUAUCCUGUCGAUUACUACUACGGAGGAUAAGGGUGCGGGAUUAAAUGCAAGACUGGCAGUGGAGACAUUGAUGUUGGUCGAAACUUGUGAGGGGAAUAGCCAAGACGAUUCCCAUCAUUGGAGAUUCUCAGGGCUCUUUCCUUUGGGGCUUUGGUGCUGAAACGUUUUGGCUUCACUUGUUAAGGUAUGGAGCUAUACGAGCAAGAUAUUGAUGUUGUCAAUUACACAAUUUUAGGUUAACAACUUAAUGCCGGUGGAGAUGAUCUUGCACUAGUUUUCAUGUCCACUCGUUGAUUUGGAGUGCGAACCUUUUGCACCAGUUUUCAUGUCGAUCGGGUUCAAGUAAUUCGAAGUGUGAGCUCGAAGAAAUCAGCGACCAUCUUUAUUGUAAAUAAGAAUCAAGUGUGUUUGGUGCUUUGGCCUUCUUUGUACUAUGUGAAAAAUUGUUACCCGCUCCAACGGGUCUGGCUUGUUUCUUAACCAAAGAAAUGAAAAUUUUGAUUCAAAACCAA